AGAGUUUGAUCCUGGCUCAGGAUGAACGCUAGCGGCAGGCUUAACACAUGCAAGUCGAGGGGUAACAGGGAUUGCUUGCAAUCCGCUGACGACCGGCGCACGGGUGCGUAACGCGUAUGCAAUUUGCCUUGUACAGGAGGAUAGCCUUUAGAAAUGAAGAUUAAUACUCCAUAGUCUAUUAGAAUCGCCUGAUUUUAAUAGUAAAGAUUUAUCGGUACAAGAUGAGUAUGCGUUCUAUUAGCUAGAUGGAGAGGUAACGGCUCCCCAUGGCAACGAUAGAUAGGGGUCCUGAGAGGGAGAUCCCCCACACUGGUACUGAGACACGGACCAGACUCCUACGGGAGGCAGCAGUGAGGAAUAUUGGGCAAUGGAGGCAACUCUGACCCAGCCAUGCCGCGUGAAGGAAGACGGCCCUAUGGGUUGUAAACUUCUUUUAUAGAGGAAGAAACCCUCCCACGUGUGGGAGGCUGACGGUACUCUACGAAUAAGCACCGGCUAACUCCGUGCCAGCAGCCGCGGUAAUA
rnacentral:rRNA from 1 species